AAGGAAUAUUGCUCAAUGGGAGAAAUCCUGAAGCAGCAACGCCGCGUGGAGGAUGAAGGGUCUAUGACUUGUAAACUCCUGUAAAGAAGGAAAAAAUUCCCAUUAGAUGGGAGAUGAUGGUACUUCUGGAGUAAGCCCCGGCUAACUACGUGCCAGCAGCCGCGGUAAUACGUAGGGGGCAAGCGUGGUCCGGAUUUACUGGGUGUAAAGGGUGCUCAGGCGGAUUUGUAAGUCAGAGGUGAAAUCUUACAGCUUAACUGUGAAACUGCCUUUGAUACUGCAAGCCUAGAGUAUGGAAGAGAGUGAUGGAAUAUCUGGUGUAGCAGUGAAAUGCGUAGAUAUCAGAUAGAACACCAAUGGCGAAGGCAGUCACUUGGUCCAUUACUGACGCUAAAGCACGAAAGCGUGGGUAGCAAACA
rnacentral:rRNA from 1 species